GGCUUUAUAGUCAAUAAUAUGAUAUUAGACUGCAAUUCUAAAGGAGUAACUUAAUUACUAAAGCUU
rnacentral:tRNA from 1 species